GACGAACGCUGGCGGCAUGCCUAACACAUGCAAGUCGAGCGCGCCGCUCGGGGCGCGGCGCGCAGGGGUGUAUAGCGUGGGGGAACCUGCCUUUAGACGCGAUAUAACCGCGCGAAUGGGGGUCUUACACUGGACACCGUCUUGGGGCCAAAGUUAUCUCGGCGUAGGAUGGGCCCGCGUUGGAUUAGGUAGUUGGUAGGGUAAAGGCCUACCAAGGCGACGAUCCAUAGCUGGUGUGAGAGGAUGAUCAGCCACACUGGGACUGAGACACGGCCCAGACUCCUACGGGAGGCAGCAGUGGGGAAUAUUAGACAAUGGGCGAAAGCCUGAUCCAGCCAUGCCGCGUGAGUGAUGAAGGCCUUAGGGUUGUAAAGCUCUUUCAGCUGGGAAGAUAAUGACGGUACCAGGAGAAGAAGCCCCGGCUAACUCCGUG
rnacentral:rRNA from 1 species